GACAAUCAAGAUCAUGAACCAAGACCUAGUGAGAUUGGAUAGGUUUGAUGGAUCCAAUUUCACUAGGUGGCAAGACAAGGUGAUAUUCCUCUUGACCACUCUCAAGAUAACCUACAUCCUAGAGUCCACCCUUGAACCUCUCCCGGUGCCAUCCGACAAAGACACUCCCGAGGUGGUGGAGAAAAAGAAGGAAGAGAGAGGAGGACAAUCUUCUUUGUAGGGGUCAUAUCCUCAAUGCCCUAUUCGAUAGGCUCUAUGACCUCUAUAUCGAGACCAAGUCGGCAAAGGAGAUUUGUGAUGCACUUGAGAUAAAAUUAAAGGCAGAAGAGGAAGGUACCAAAAAGUUUUUGAUUUGUGAAUACUUUGAUUUCAAUUUUUUUGGUGACAAAACCUAUUAUUCCUCAAAUUCAUGAGCUUCAAAUAAUUGUUAACAAAUUGAAAGUUUUGAAGAUUAAGCUUCCCGAUGCCUUUCAAGUUGGUGCAAUAGUGGCAAAAUUACCACCAACUUGGAGGAUCUAUAGGAAAAGAAUCCUUCAUAAAAAUGAGGAUUAUUCUUUGGAGGAAAUCUAGCACCAAAUUCAAAUCGAGGAGGAAUCGAUAUGUAGAGAUAAACUUGUGGGUGAGUCUAAUGGAGAGACAUCCAAAGCAAAUGCGGUGUCACAACCGAAACAACCCAAAAAUAAAGGGAAAGACAAGAAGGGUAAUGAGAAACAUUUGGGUCCGAAAACCAACCAAAACAAGUUUAAGGGCGAGACAGGUGCUUGAUUUGUGUGUGGGGGAAAUGGUCACUAUGCUAGAAAGUGUAGGCAUAGAAAAGACUAAUAAGGACCUAAGGUGAAUGCAACUUAAGAGGAGAAUAUAGUCAUUACCCUUUGUAACGUCCCAAAUUUGCUAAUAAGGCUUAGUGCCUUGAUUAGCGUGCCGGGAGGGAAAUAACUGAUUUAAUUAUGUUAAUACGUGGAUUACAUGAUUAUGUGAUUAUAAAUGCAUGUUUAGGUGAAUUAAAUAUGCAUGUGGACCCAUUUUGGUUAAUAGGGGCAUAUUUAAAAUUUUGGCAUGUUGAGGGCAUAAAUGUGAAUUAUAUGUGUGUUGUGUUUGAUACCACAAGAUUGUGGUGAUAUAUUUGUGAUGCGUGAUCUGAAACGGUCCUAGGGAGUGAAAUAGCGAAAUAGUCACAAUGGGGUCGAAUACCCUGCUUGGGGUGAGCCUAGGGGUAUUUUGAGAAUAUAACUCGUGUUCGGGGUUACCAGGUAACGAGUAGUGAUUUAGCGAUUAUUUGGGUAUGUUGGGAGUAAAUGGGGAUUUAUAGGAAUGCUCAAAGAAUUAGCGGGAUGUGAUAAAUGACGGGCUUGCCCUUGGUGAUAUUAAAGGGGUAGGCAUUUAUCUAGCGGCAUGUUGGUCUUUUGGUGGUUAGGCUAGACUUAGGUAACCUAGAAUCAACCAGAAACCCAAGUUAAUCUCUCAGCCCACUCUCUCUCUCUCUCACUCCCUUUGGUGAGGUUUUGGAACUCUAAGGGAAAAAUCAUUGUAAUUUAUGGAAUCAAGGCCAAGAUUGCUGAGGAUUUGAGGCUAGAAGUGUUGGGGAAUUAACUCAGGGUCGAAAUCAACACAGAGGUAAGGUUUAGAGCAAGUUAUUUUUAUUUUUUUUAUGAAUUUCUCUGGGUUUUUAGUGUUUUGGGGUUUUUGAACUUAAGUGGUUGAAUUUAAGUUGUAAUGAGGUUUUAUUCAGUUUGUUUGGGUUUAUGUACUGCUCUGAGUAUAGUGUAAGUGUUUUGGGACUCAGUUUUGGCGUUAGAUCAUGUUUGGAUCGAUUUACAGGAAGUUUAGAACUCUGAAAAAUGCUGAAAAUUCUGGGUUCGCGGAGUCGCGUCGCGGUGCUGUUCUUGAAUGCCACGACCUGCAUGAAUUCAUGAGGCCUUGGGGAUUCACUGAAUCGCCUUAGCGUCGCGGCCCUGGGCAAGGCGCGCUGGGACGCAUGUCCAAAAAAAAUUAAAGCUAGGCUCUCUGACUUGAAGAGGGUCGCGACCCUAAUUGUUGGGGCGCCACGGCUCUAAUUAGGGGUGUCGCCGCGCAAAUAGAGGAUUAUGGCCAAUCUAGGGUUUUAAGCUCAAGAACCCAAAUCUUAGGGCUCGGGAAGGAUCCUACUACCCGAUUUAGUAGGAUUCAAGGUCCCAGAGGCUAGAAUAAUAUUCCGAAGUUCUUAUUUGGCUCAGGGCUUGAUAAAUUGUUGUUAUUGAUGCAUUGUGACUAGGUUUCACGUCAAGGCUCGGGUUUAGGAGAUCGUGCUCGGGAUUGCGCUAAUCUAUCAGCUAGGGACACAUGCCGAAAACAGCGAAGGCUGGGAACGGCAAGGGCCAGGGACGGCAAAGGCCGGGAUUGGCAUUAAGCACACUGAGUGUAGGCCUCUAGGGAGAGACCUUCCAAGGGUGCUCUAUUCACCCGAUCGAUGAAGACUGUGAACCCAGUGCCAGGUAAGAGCAAGGGAAAAGUCGAGCAACCAUGAGUUGGAGAGCGUGGAGCGACAUGUACAUGUUCGGCCUACCUGGCUGCCACGACCGGGGUUAUUUUGAGGAAUUUACUGUAAAUGGUUGGUUUUGUCGCUUAGGUCAACUAUACUGUGACUUUUGAAUUGUAAUACAUUUUUGAAACAUUAUUUUGGGAUCCCAAUGUAUAACUUUUAUGAAUUUUGAUGAA